rnacentral:rRNA from 1 species
AGGAUGAACGCUGGCGGCGUGCUUAACACAUGCAAGUCGAACGGUGAUCCGGUGCUUGCACCGGGGAUUAGUGGCGAACGGGUGAGUAACACGUGAGUAACCUGCCCUUAACCUCGGGAUAAGCCUGGGAAACCGGGUCUAAUACUGGAUAUGACUGCCGGCCGCAUGGUCUGGUGGUGGAAAGCUUUAUGCGGUUUUGGAUGGACUCGCGGCCUAUCAGCUUGUUGGUGAGGUAAUGGCUUACCAAGGCGACGACGGUAGCCGGCCUGAGAGGGUGACCGGCCACACUGGGACUGAGACACGGCCCAGACUCCUACGGAGGCAGCAGUGGGAAUAUUGCACAAUGGGCGAAAGCCUGAUGCAGCGACGCCGCGUGAGGGAUGAAUGCCUUCGGUUGUAAACCUCUUUCAGUAGGAAGAAGCCUUCGGGUGACGGUAUUGCAGAAGAAGCGCCGGCUAACUACGUGCCAGCAGCCGC